GAUAAACGCUAGCGGCAGGCCUAACACAUGCAAGUCGAGGGGCAGCGGGAGUAGCAAUACUUGCCGGCGACCGGCGGACGGGUGCGCAACGCGUGAGCAACCUACCUCAAGCAGGGGAAUAACCCGAAGAAAUUCGGACUAAUACCGCAUGUUUACCGCAUUGGGCAUCCAGUGCAGUACAAAUUCACGGAGGCUUGAGAUGGGCUCGCGUCCCAUUAGCUCGUUGGCGGGGUAACGGCCCACCAAGGCAACGAUGGGUAGGGGUUCUGAGAGGAUUCACCCCCACACCGGAACUGAGAUACGGUCCGGACUCCUACGGGAGGCAGCAGUGAGGAAUAUUGGACAAUGGGCGGAAGCCUGAUCCAGCCAUGCCGCGUGCAGGAAGACGGCCCUACGGGUUGUAAACUGCUUUUGUUCGGGAACAACGGGGCCUACGCGUAGGCAUUUGAGGGUACCGUUCGAAUAAGCAUCGGCUAACUCCGUGCCAGCAGCCGCGGUAAUACGGAGGAUGCAAGCGUUAUCCGGAUUUAUUGGGUUUAAAGGGUGCGUAGGCGGCCAUUGUAAGUCAGCGGUGAAAUUUUCCGGCUCAACCGGAGCAGCGCCGUUGAUACUGCUGGGCUUGAGUGCGAACGAGGCUGGCGGAAUGCGCGGUGUAGCGGUGAAAUGCAUAGAUAUCGCGCAGAACUCCGAUUGCGAAGGCAGCUGGCCAGGUCGCCACUGACGCUGAUGCACGACAGCGUGGGGAUCGAACAGGAUUAGAUACCCUGGUAGUCCACGCCGUAAACGAUGAGCGCUCGCCGCGCGGUUGGCAACAGCUGCGUGGCCAAGAGAAAUCGUUAAGCGCUCCACCUGGGGAGUACGGCCGCAAGGCUGAAACUCAAAGGAAUUGACGGGGGCCCGCACAAGCGGAGGAACAUGUGGUUUAAUUCGAUGAUACGCGAGGAACCUUACCCGGGCUUGAAAUGCACCCGAAUACGCCCGAAAAGGCGUAGCCAGCAAUGGCGGGUGCGUAGGUGCUGCAUGGUUGUCGUCAGCUCGUGCCGUGAGGUGUCGGCUUAAGUGCCACAACGAGCGCAACCCCUGUCGCCGGUUGCCAGCGCGUAAAGGCGGGGACUUCGGCGAGACUGCCACCGUAAGGUGCGAGGAAGGUGGGGAUGACGUCAAAUC
rnacentral:rRNA from 1 species